AAUCCAUAGGUUAAUGAGGCGAACCGGGGGAACUGAAACAUCUAAGUACCCCGAGGAAAAGAAAUCAACCGAGAUUCCCCCAGUAGCGGCGAGCGAACGGGGAGGAGCCCAGAGCCUGAAUCAGUGUGUGUGUUAGUGGAAGCGUCUGGAAAGGCGCGCGAUACAGGGUGACAGCCCCGUACACAAAAAUGCACACAUUGUGAGCUCGAUGAGUAGGGCGGGACACGUGGUAUCCUGUCUGAAUAUGGGGGGACCAUCCUCCAAGGCUAAAUACUCCUGACUGACCGAUAGUGAACCAGUACCGUGAGGGAAAGGCGAAAAGAACCCCGGCGAGGGGAGUGAAAAAGAACCUGAAACCGUGUACGUACAAGCAGUGGGAGCCUCUUAAUGGGGUGACUGCGUACCUUUUGUAUAAUGGGUCAGCGACUUAUAUUCUGUAGCAAGGUUAACCGAAUAGGGGAGCCGAAGGGAAACCGAGUCUUAACUGGGCGUUAAGUUGCAGGGUAUAGACCCGAAACCCGGUGAUCUAGCCAUGGGCAGGUUGAAGGUUGGGUAACACUAACUGGAGGACCGAACCGACUAAUGUUGAAAAAUUAGCGGAUGACUUGUGGCUGGGGGUGAAAGGCCAAUCAAACCGGGAGAUAGCUGGUUCUCCCCGAAAGCUAUUUAGGUAGCGCCUCGUGAAUUCAUCUCCGGGGGUAGAGCACUGUUUCGGCAAGGGGGUCAUCCCGACUUACCAACCCGAUGCAAACUGCGAAUACCGGAGAAUGUUAUCACGGGAGACACACGGCGGGUGCUAACGUCCGUCGUGAAGAGGGAAACAACCCAGACCGCCAGCUAAGGUCCCAAAGUCAUGGUUAAGUGGGAAACGAUGUGGGAAGGCCCAGACAGCCAGGAUGUUGGCUUAGAAGCAGCCAUCAUUUAAAGAAAGCGUAAUAGCUCACUGGUCGAGUCGGCCUGCGCGGAAGAUGUAACGGGGCUAAACCAUGCACCGAAGCUGCGGCAGCGACACUAUGUGUUGUUGGGUAGGGGAGCGUUCUGUAAGCCUGUGAAGGUGGCCUGUGAGGGUUGCUGGAGGUAUCAGAAGUGCGAAUGCUGACAUAAGUAACGAUAAAGCGGGUGAAAAGCCCGCUCGCCGGAAGACCAAGGGUUCCUGUCCAACGUUAAUCGGGGCAGGGUGAGUCGACCCCUAAGGCGAGGCCGAAAGGCGUAGUCGAUGGGAAACAGGUUAAUAUUCCUGUACUUGGUGUUACUGCGAAGGGGGGACGGAGAAGGCUAUGUUGGCCGGGCGACGGUUGUCCCGGUUUAAGCGUGUAGGCUGGUUUUCCAGGCAAAUCCGGAAAACCAAGGCUGAGGCGUGAUGACGAGGCACUACGGUGCUGAAGCGACAAAUGCCCUGCUUCCAGGAAAAGCCUCUAAGCAUCAGGUAACAUCAAAUCGUACCCCAAACCGACACAGGUGGUCAGGUAGAGAAUACCAAGGCGCUUGAGAGAACUCGGGUGAAGGAACUAGGCAAAAUGGUGCCGUAACUUCGGGAGAAGGCACGCUGAUAUGUAGGUGAAGCGACUUGCUCGUGGAGCUGAAAUCAGUCGAAGAUACCAGCUGGCUGCAACUGUUUAUUAAAAACACAGCACUGUGCAAACACGAAAGUGGACGUAUACGGUGUGACGCCUGCCCGGUGCCGGAAGGUUAAUUGAUGGGGUUAGCGGCAACGCGAAGCUCUUGAUCGAAGCCCCGGUAAACGGCGGCCGUAACUAUAACGGUCCUAAGGUAGCGAAAUUCCUUGUCGGGUAAGUUCCGACCUGCACGAAUGGCGUAAUGAUGGCCAGGCUGUCUCCACCCGAGACUCAGUGAAAUUGAACUCGCUGUGAAGAUGCAGUGUACCCGCGGCAAGACGGAAAGACCCCGUGAACCUUUACUAUAGCUUGACACUGAACAUUGAGCCUUGAUGUGUAGGAUAGGUGGGAGGCUUUGAAGUGUGGACGCCAGUCUGCAUGGAGCCGACCUUGAAAUACCACCCUUUAAUGUUU
rnacentral:rRNA from 1 species